GACCCAUCAACCGAAUCGAUUGACCAGUCAAAUUAGCCUGACUGUUGUCGGUCCUUCUUGGCAUCUUUUCUUCAAUUCAUCGUCACCAUGAACGAAUCUGUGACCCGUUCCACAUCAUCUUCUUUACAUUUGUAAAGGUUCCCAUAAAUUUUAGAGUCUAUCAUGCUUUCACAGAACUUCUAUGAACUUUCAUUUGUCUGUUGGAAAUGGAUUAAAGAUACUCCUUCAUACUAGUAAAGCUGGUAAUAACUGAAGCACACCAACAGAAUGUUAUUAGAUUGAUCAAGUAAUUCCAUAAUGACUAUUAGAAUGCAAAUGAUUGGAGUUUCUCAAGUCAUAGGAAAGCCAUGCAAAAGGCACAUUGGGUUACAAACCAAGUACCAUCUUAGUUUAGAUAUAUGGUUUGGAAUUAUGUUCCCAUCUUCUUCUUCUUCUUUUCUUCUUUUUCUUUUUCCAUCUGGAGUUAUGAUCCUUGUAGGCGUGGUGACUGAAAUGACUCUUAAUGGUUGGUUUAGAUGACCCUUCAACCUCUUAUUUUCAUGUGUUUCUGUUUCCUUGAUUUAGAAAAUUUCAUUUACCAUUUUGAAAAAUGUUAGCUCCUCUUUUCAUGCAAUUUAGUCAUUAUGGAUUUUAUUUUUAUUUUUAUUUUUGGUUAUGUAAUUUGUCCUGUAACAAAAAAUCUACAUGACUAAUGACAUUUUUUGUUCUCCAAGUUCUUGGGAACAAGUACCAAAGCAAGUUGCUUGAAAUAAUUGAUGCUAGGAACUUGAAAGAUCGGUUGGUCCAUAGGAAACGAUCUCGAUUGCCUCCCUCAUCCGAGAAAGCAGGUAAACGGCUUCCUGCUCUGCAUGUUGAUGGGUCAAAUAAGAUGGAAAUCUUAAGAUGGUUUGUUAGGAAUCUUUCAAAUUUUAGAGGUAUGUUCACGUGUGUGCAUGAUUGUCGGCAUGGGUGCAUAACAGAUGUCUCUUGAUUGCCCUGCGUUUUGGAUAUCUAUUGCCUCUCGAUCUGUACUUUGUGGAUUCUUAUGAAAUUAAAAAACAGGUUCAGUGGGAGAUUAUGAACCAGAUAAUUUCUUAAUCUUGGGUGUUUCACAAUCAAUAUUUUGUUUUCAAGUAAAAGUAAAUUGGUUUCGGAAGCAGCUGAAUGGGAACGAUGAGGUAAUGCAAUGCAAGACCUGACAUUCAUGUAUUUUCUGAGUUCUCGUUGCAUGUUCCAAGCGGCAUGACUGUGGCUCUAGUUGUUGAGUGCGACAGUGGAAAGUCGACAGUGAUCAGCCUGUUGGAGAGGUUCUAUGAACCCCAAGCUGGUGAAGUACUCAUAGAUGACAUCAACUUGAAGAAGCUGCUGCUUGGAUGGAUCAGAGAGAAGAUUAGUCUUGUUAGCCAAGAGCCCAUCUUAUUCACAACUACUAUAAAGGAGAAUAUCGCAUAUGGUAAGGCAGGUGCUACAUUGGAAGAAAUCAGAACAGUAACUGAGAUUGCUAAUGCUGCAAGGUUUAUAGACAAGAUGCUGCAGGUCACUUGCUUGUACUUUUUUUUUUUUAGUAAAUUCAUACUACUCUCUCAAAGAUGUUGUGGGUGGAAGGCUAGGAAAGGAAGACAUUUGUAGUUUGUUUUGGUAAAUUAAUUGUUUUGUUGA